rnacentral:tRNA from 1 species
GCCUGAGUGGCUCAGUGGUUGAGCAUCUGUCUUCAGCUCAGGUCGAGAUCCUGGGGUCCUGGGAUGAAGUCCCACAUCGGGCU